rnacentral:rRNA from 2 species
GAGCGGCGAACGGGUGAGUAACACGUGAGUAACCUGCCCCAGACUUUGGGAUAACCCUCGGAAACGGGGGCUAAUACCGGAUAUGACACAGCUUCGCAUGGGGUCUGUGUGGAAAGUUUUUCGGUUUGGGAUGGGCUCGCGGCCUAUCAGCUUGUUGGUGGGGUGAUGGCCUACCAAGGCGACGACGGGUAGCCGGCCUGAGAGGGCGACCGGCCACACUGGGACUGAGACACGGCCCAGACUCCUACGGGAGGCAGCAGUGGGGAAUAUUGCACAAUGGGCGGAAGCCUGAUGCAGCGACGCCGCGUGAGGGAUGACGGCCUUCGGGUUGUAAACCUCUUUCAGCAGGGACGAAGCGUAAGUGACGGUACCUGCAGAAGAAGCGCCGGCCAACUACGUGCCAGCAGCCGCGGUAAGACGUAGGGCGCGAGCGUUGUCCCGGAUUUAUUGGGCGUAAAGAGCUCGUAGGCGGCUUGUCGCGUCGAAUGUGAAAACCCACAGCUCAACUGUGGGCUUGCAUUCGAUACGGGCAGGCUCGAGUUCGGUAGGGGAGACUGGAAUUCCU